CCUACGGGAGGCAGCAGUGAGGAAUAUUGGUCAAUGGGCGAGAGCCUGAACCAGCCAAGUCGCGUGAGGGAGUACUGCCCUAUGGGUUGUAAACCUCUUUUGUCGGGGAGCAAAAGCCGGACGUGUCCGGCUGUGAGAGUACCCGAAGAAAAAGCAUCGGCUAACUCCGUGCCAGCAGCCGCGGUAAUACGGAGGAUGCGAGAGUUAUCCGGAUUUAUUGGGGUUAAAGGGUGCGCAGGCGGAUUUGUAAGUCAGCGGUAAAAUAGUGGGGCUCAACCCCCGCCAGCCGUUGAAACUGGGGAUCUAGAGUGUGCGAGAGGUAUGCGGAAUGCGUGGUGUAGCGGUGAAAUGCAUAGAUAUCACGCAGAACCCCGAUUGCGAAGGCAGCAUACCGGUGCACAACUGACGCUCAGGCACGAAAGCGUGGGUAUCGAACAGGAUUAGAUACCCGUGUAGUC
rnacentral:rRNA from 1 species